rnacentral:lncRNA from 1 species
AACUUCCACUAGAAUGUAAAUGCCAGUAGAGCAGGAAUCUUGUCUUUAUUGGAAGAUGUGAUGAAUUCGUUAAUGUGUUUUAAGAUUUGACAAAGGAUAUUCAGGGCCGGGUAUGGUGGCUCACGCCUGUGAUCCUAGCACUUUGGGAGACCAAGGAGAGUGGAUCACUCGAGGCCAGGAGUUCAAGACCAGCCUGGCCAACAUGGUGAAACCCUGUCUCUACUGAGAAUACAAAAAUUAGCCGGGCAUGGUGGUACAUGCCUGUAAUUUGGGAGGCUGAGGCGGGAGAAUCACUUGAACCUGAGAAGCGGAGCUUGCAGUGAGCCGAGAUCACGCCACUGCACUCCAGCCUGGGCAACGGAGUGAGACUCUGUCUCAAAA